rnacentral:rRNA from 1 species
GGUUAAGCGACUAAGCGUACACGGUGGAUGCCCUGGCAGUCAGAGGCGAUGAAGGACGUGCUAAUCUGCGAUAAGCGUCGGUAAGGUGAUAUGAACCGUUAUAACCGGCGAUUUCCGAAUGGGGAAACCCAGUGUGAUUCGUCACACUAUCAUUAACUGAAUCCAUAGGUUAAUGAGGCGAACCGGGGGAACUGAAACAUCUAAGUACCCCGAGGAAAAGAAAUCAACCGAGAUUCCCCAAGUAGCGGCGAGCGAACGGGGAGCAGCCCAGAGCCUGAAUCAGUGUGUGUGUUAGUGGAAGCGUCUGGAAAGGCGCGCGAUACAGGGUGACAGCCCCGUACACAAAAAUGCACAUACUGUGAGCUCGAUGAGUAGGGCGGGACACGUGGUAUCCUGUCUGAAUAUGGGGGGACCAUCCUCCAAGGCUAAAUACUCCUGACUGACCGAUAGUGAACCAGUACCGUGAGGGAAAGGCGAAAAGAACCCCGGCGAGGGGAGUGAAAAAGAACCUGAAACCGUGUACGUACAAGCAGUGGGAGCACGCUUAGGCGUGUGACUGCGUACCUUUUGUAUAAUGGGUCAGCGACUUAUAUUCUGUAGCAAGGUUAACCGAAUAGGGGAGCCGAAGGGAAACCGAGUCUUAACUGGGCGUUAAGUUGCAGGGUAUAGACCCGAAACCCGGUGAUCUAGCCAUGGGCAGGUUGAAGGUUGGGUAACACUAACUGGAGGACCGAACCGACUAAUGUUGAAAAAUUAGCGGAUGACUUGUGGCUGGGGGUGAAAGGCCAAUCAAACCGGGAGAUAGCUGGUUCUCCCCGAAAGCUAUUUAGGUAGCGCCUCGUGAAUUCAUCUCCGGGGGUAGAGCACUGUUUCGGCAAGGGGGUCAUCCCGACUUACCAACCCGAUGCAAACUGCGAAUACCGGAGAAUGUUAUCACGGGAGACACACGGCGGGUGCUAACGUCCGUCGUGAAGAGGGAAACAACCCAGACCGCCAGCUAAGGUCCCAAAGUCAUGGUUAAGUGGGAAACGAUGUGGGAAGGCCCAGACAGCCAGGAUGUUGGCUUAGAAGCAGCCAUCAUUUAAAGAAAGCGUAAUAGCUCACUGGUCGAGUCGGCCUGCGCGGAAGAUGUAACGGGGCUAAACCAUGCACCGAAGCUGCGGCAGCGACGCUUAUGCGUUGUUGGGUAGGGGAGCGUUCUGUAAGCCUGUGAAGGUGUGCUGUGAGGCAUGCUGGAGGUAUCAGAAGUGCGAAUGCUGACAUAAGUAACGAUAAAGCGGGUGAAAAGCCCGCUCGCCGGAAGACCAAGGGUUCCUGUCCAACGUUAAUCGGGGCAGGGUGAGUCGACCCCUAAGGCGAGGCCGAAAGGCGUAGUCGAUGGGAAACAGGUUAAUAUUCCUGUACUUGGUGUUACUGCGAAGGGGGACGGAGAAGGCUAUGUUGGCCGGGCGACGGUUGUCCCGGUUUAAGCGUGUAGGCUGGUUUUCCAGGCAAAUCCGGAAAAUCAAGGCUGAGGCGUGAUGACGAGGCACUACGGUGCUGAAGCAACAAAUGCCCUGCUUCCAGGAAAAGCCUCUAAGCAUCAGGUAACAUCAAAUCGUACCCCAAACCGACACAGGUGGUCAGGUAGAGAAUACCAAGGCGCUUGAGAGAACUCGGGUGAAGGAACUAGGCAAAAUGGUGCCGUAACUUCGGGAGAAGGCACGCUGAUAUGUAGGUGAAGUCCCUCGCGGAUGGAGCUGAAAUCAGUCGAAGAUACCAGCUGGCUGCAACUGUUUAUUAAAAACACAGCACUGUGCAAACACGAAAGUGGACGUAUACGGUGUGACGCCUGCCCGGUGCCGGAAGGUUAAUUGAUGGGGUCAGCGCAAGCGAAGCUCUUGAUCGAAGCCCCGGUAAACGGCGGCCGUAACUAUAACGGUCCUAAGGUAGCGAAAUUCCUUGUCGGGUAAGUUCCGACCUGCACGAAUGGCGUAAUGAUGGCCAGGCUGUCUCCACCCGAGACUCAGUGAAAUUGAACUCGCUGUGAAGAUGCAGUGUACCCGCGGCAAGACGGAAAGACCCCGUGAACCUUUACUAUAGCUUGACACUGAACAUUGAGCCUUGAUGUGUAGGAUAGGUGGGAGGCUUAGAAGUGUGGACGCCAGUCUGCAUGGAGCCGACCUUGAAAUACCACCCUUUAAUGUUUGAUGUUCUAACGUUGACCCGUAAUCCGGGUUGCGGACAGUGUCUGGUGGGUAGUUUGACUGGGGCGGUCUCCUCCUAAAGAGUAACGGAGGAGCACGAAGGUUGGCUAAUCCUGGUCGGACAUCAGGAGGUUAGUGCAAUGGCAUAAGCCAGCUUGACUGCGAGCGUGACGGCGCGAGCAGGUGCGAAAGCAGGUCAUAGUGAUCCGGUGGUUCUGAAUGGAAGGGCCAUCGCUCAACGGAUAAAAGGUACUCCGGGGAUAACAGGCUGAUACCGCCCAAGAGUUCAUAUCGACGGCGGUGUUUGGCACCUCGAUGUCGGCUCAUCACAUCCUGGGGCUGAAGUAGGUCCCAAGGGUAUGGCUGUUCGCCAUUUAAAGUGGUACGCGAGCUGGGUUUAGAACGUCGUGAGACAGUUCGGUCCCUAUCUGCCGUGGGCGCUGGAGAACUGAGGGGGGCUGCUCCUAGUACGAGAGGACCGGAGUGGACGCAUCACUGGUGUUCGGGUUGUCAUGCCAAUGGCACUGCCCGGUAGCUAAAUGCGGAAGAGAUAAGUGCUGAAAGCAUCUAAGCACGAAACUUGCCCCGAGAUGAGUUCUCCCUGACCCUUUAAGGGUCCUGAAGGAACGUUGAAGACGACGACGUUGAUAGGCCGGGUGUGUAAGCGCAGCGAUGCGUUGAGCUAACCGGUACUAAUGAACCGUGAGGCUUAACCUU